UGUCCUGAGGUGAAUGACCAAAUGCCAAUGUCUGAGAAAUCCCCCCACCAGAUAAAGCCAACCACUGAACCACUGGCAGGUGGAAGAACACCCAGAGAAAAUCCCCAGCCCUAGAAGGUGCUGAGAACCUGUUCUGGAGACUGUGGGAAUGACAAAUGGCUGCUCCCUCCCAUGGGACCAGAUUAGCUGUUUCCUAUGUGCCCAACAGACAUUCUCUCUUUGAGCAAAACAAGUAGCAGGUGGCUUGUCCUGCCUUCCAAAAGGGCUGUGGCAGAUGCAGGGCUGUGCUGGAGGGGAAGCUAAGGUUUCACAUCCCCAAAUUCCCCGUUAGUUAACUGGCUUGGCAGAGGGUCACCGAGGUUUGUUUGUGUGCAUGUGCGAGUGUCAGACACCAAGCAGAGAACAAGAGGGAGUUUUCCAACAAGAUUAAUCCUCUACCAGAACUGGCUCUGUCCCAGGAAUGACUCUCAGAAAUGCUGGCAUAAAUCUACAAUUAAUCUAAAAUUAAUGUUUGCUUCAAUGGAGCUGCUUGGGACAUAAUUGACAGUGAUGUUUGGCCCACUUAAUGCUGAUCCCAUGGCUUAUACUCUCAUUUUCCUUUCUCUGAAUGCAUUUCCAGAUAGAUUUCCAGCUCCUCUCUACAGUUCAAGUGUUUAGGGGUGCAGAACUCCAUCACUCCACAGGAGUGAGUCCUGCUGAAGGAGAAAAGGCAUUGGCAGCAACAGCUGAUUGUCCCUGGUACCAUCUGUUGUAACUGUGGUGACAUCAGUGCUCUGGCCCCUGUCAGCCCGAGGUGACAGGGCCACGGGCCCUUCAUGUGCUCCCAGCCUCUCAGCACGAGCCUGGUGCAGACUCUGGCAGUGUUUCAAGGUAGAGUCCGAGCUCACCACGGCCCUGCCAGGGUGAUAACCUUGGCCAUAUCUGCCCAGGCAAAGGGUUCAAAGGCUCCUCACAGGUCUGCCUUCCAAGUGGAAAAGUCCAUCGUUUAUUGACUGUGGUGACCACCAGCUGGGAGUGCACUGGAGAGGCUCAGCCCCUCAAGGAACCCUGGAGAAAUGGGACAUCUACCCAGAACAGACUCCUGGCCUGAAAAGGGUUGUGUUAGCAGGCAGCUUUUUAGUUCAUCAGCUUUCAUCACAUUUUUUGAACAUCUUGGAGCAAGCUUUUCCCCUGUCUGCUCAUCCACAGGUUUCUGUGGCCCUGGGUAUCCAAGCACCACGCACAUGGGGCAGCAACAGUGGGUGCUGUAUUAGCAGGGCUCAGAGAACAAAAUGUGGGUGUUCUUCCCAUCCUUGGGCUUAGACCAUAGCUUUAUGUCAGGUCCAAUCUGGAUGCCCUGGCAUGCACAUACUCUAAGCUACACAGUUUUGGGAAGCCAGGAUUUCCUGGGAAGACCAAAGCCUUAUUUCCUUGGUGUACAGGAAAGGAAGGUAAACUCCAGCAUUCCUAUAAUACAUUCUAUGCAAAAAUCCCUUUGUUGCCUCAAGCUUUCCACAGGGAUCGGGGCUCAGAUCACACUAAGGUGGUGAGGACACUCAGGGACCCCUCCUGAGCCCUCCAAGCACCACAGUGAAGCCCCAAGACAUUGUCUGCCAAGUGCCAGAGGCCUCCUGUUGAGCCCUUCCAGAAUCUGAGGCACUUUUUGGAAAUUUUUUAGAAAUAGGAAAGGAUGUAGAGAGGCUGUUUGAGAUUGUCCCCAGACUCUUCCCAGAGCUGUCCUGAACUCUUGCACUGCACCACCCUCCUGCUCACAGCUGAGGACCCUCACACCUCUCAGCCUCCAACCCCUUCACUUCCAGGCUGAGGCCAGACUGCCCACAUGGGUCAGCUCAAAGCCUCCCUUUGAUGGUCCAGAUGAUCUCCAGGGCUGUUCUCUGAGCCAAACCUUCUCCAUCCCCUGGAGCUCCCACACCAGGGCCUGGCUGUAGAGCACUGAGGGGUAAUCAUCCUGAAACCAUUCCCGCUCCCAGAAAAGCUCUGUCUGGCUGAGGGCAGACUUUCUCCCUCCUAGAGGCACUGCCUAAACACAGCAAAGAUUUUGUUAUUGGGUCAGGUUUUUAUUCCUCCCUCCUUCUCACUGCCUACACAGCCAAAGGGCCUGUUUGUUUUGCUGCUACUUAUCAGAAAGGUUUAUUUGCGAUUGCUUGAGAGGGGAAAAAACCCUCUGUAGCCAGGGGCAGACAAGCUCAGUGCUCAGGAACAUAAUGGCUGCAGCCCCCAGGCCCAUAUGCUCGCCAUCCUGCGAGGUGGAAGGCCGGCUCUGAUCACAUCCAGCUGCUGGGGAUACGACUGAUCAGAUUCUCAGCACGAGGUUUUUUGGCAAGAUACUUUUGGAAGAACACCUCAACCAGACCACACUUCCAAAGAGCUGAGCCUUCAAUGCUGGCAGGCAGUAA